AUUGAACGCUGGCGGAAUGCUUUACACAUGCAAGUCGAACGGCAGCACGGGAGCUUGCUCCUGGUGGCGAGUGGCGAACGGGUGAGUAACAUAUCGGAACGUACCCAGUCGUGGGGGAUAACUAUCCGAAAGGAUAGCUAAUACCGCAUACGUCCUGAGGGAGAAAGCGGGGGAUCGCAAGACCUCGCGCGAUUGGAGCGGCCGAUAUCGGAUUAGCUAGUUGGUGGGGUAAAGGCUCACCAAGGCGACGAUCCGUAGCGGGUCUGAGAGGACGACCCGCCGCACUGGAACUGAGACACGGUCCAGACUCCUACGGGAGGCAGCAGUGGGGAAUUUUGGACAAUGGGGGCAACCCUGAUCCAGCCAUUCCGCGUGAGUGAAGAAGGCCUUCGGGUUGUAAAGCUCUUUCAGCAGGAACGAAACGGUCGGCUUUAAUAAAGUCGGCUAAUGACGGUACCUGCAGAAGAAGCACCGGCUAACUACGUG
rnacentral:rRNA from 1 species